GUGUGAUGGACCAGGAUGAACCAAAACGAAUAGCUAUGGCCAAAACAUAUUUUUUUCAAACGUUUGUGAUGAACAUUUACUUUUUUGACUAGAUGUAUCAAUUUUGCCCAAGUAGGUAGGCUCUUUUACCUGAGGAUUGUGACAGAGUCCAGCCUCAAAAAUGUUGUUUUUAAAUAAAAACAUAAUGGCUAAUUUCCAAAGUCAUUAAUUGUAUGUAGUGAGUGCAGCUGUUAUCCAGAUUCUCCACGUGUAGAAGUGGGUUAGAACAUCUACAGCGCAGCCCUACAAGUUGCAUAUGGCAAUGAUAAUGGAACCUCCUGCCCUCCUGCCUGCGGGUAUAACUGGGCCACCCUGCCUACCACUGGUCCUCCAGGUUGGGGAGACUUGGAAGCAAAGGCUGAGGCCCACAAGCUCUGUACAAUAUUAUUGUUACAGAAUCCAAAAAAACAAAAAACCGGAUCAAAUAUGGCACAAUCGCCUAAGGAAGGCUGUGGCUGAAAAAGUGGUUUUGCUAAUAAUGAUGAUGAUGGUAUCUCCCUUCGCGUGUUACGGAAGCAGUGGUGAGCCUAGGAAUUGUGGAUAAUGGCUGCUGCUGGCGGGGACACCCAUAACGCUAAUAACGUCGUCACUUCACUACAUCUUCGAAUUUUCUAUAGAAUUAUUAAUGAUGGCAAAUGUUAGAACCUUAAACCUUGCCGUCUAAAAAAACUCACUUCACUUAUAUUUCAGUCCGUAAGAUACCAGUUUCUAAUUUUCUUCUUGUUGGUAUUCUGCAAGUUGAUCAUUAUUCGUAAUGGUUAAUGAUCGCUCAUAUAACACGGUUUAACUCCAACUUGAUUUCGCGUUUUUUGGAAAGGCUUCAAUCGCUUCAAUUAUUCAACAGUUUCAUUACAUGUAAUACCAUAAAUCAAUUAGUAAUCUCACGCAGAGUUAACUGUGUUCCGCCGGUCGAUAUAAUCCGUGUGCUACAAUCAGCUGUUCGUGUCAGGAACAAAAUGUCGGCUUUCGGGUGAUUAGUUGGAUCACUUGCAAACAGUGGGUAGCAACUGGUAGCAACUGUCGCGAAGUGGGAUGCCCAGUUUUUGGUUGGGCCUACGAUCGUUACUUUCUAAUUAUAUUUUGUAAGUAGGGUGAGAUGUUGAAAUUUUUGAUAACUUUUGGAACAGGGGUGUAUGUUGGGGUCUAUCUGAGUCAAAAUUAUGAGAUUCCCAGAGUUGAUGAACCAGCUGAGCUUUUGGAAAGGAUAAAGAAGUUUGUAGAUGAACACAAAAAGAAUAAAUAGUUAAAACAGGAACCUAAGUCUGUAUAUGAAUAACAGGUCAGUGAAUUGCAACAAUGAUGUGAAUCACACUUAUUUUCAUGGAACAUAAAGAAGCCAUACAUUACUUGCCAUAAACAUUUUAACUGCUGCAGCAAAAAUUUAAGACUUGUAUUGUUUUUAUAGAUAUAUAUAUAUAUGUAUAUGUAUUACUGCCUGUAGGUGUACAUUGUGAGGUUAGUACAAUAAACCCUUUUGCUGCAUCACACAAAACAGACUGGUUACCAUUUCAUAGAAUAUCUUUAUAACCAUUACAUGUAUCACCCCUUGUGAAUCAUCAUCAGCUGGCAUAAGUACAUUUAUCACAACAUGAAAUCAACCUAAGUUGCAAAGUAACAAUACAACAAAAUCAGUUUCCAUCAAGGUCAGAGUCAGUAAAUGAGAAGGGCUAAUUUCAUGUUUAAUAAUAUUAAAUAUUAAUAUUAAAAAUAAGUGAUAUACAGUAAACCCCUUGCUGAUCUAGUGUAAGUGAGGGGAGAGGUCAUCCAGAUUAAGCGAUAAUCCAUAUUAGUGAAGUAAAAGGUAGCCCUAAAGAAAAAAACUUAGAACUCAAAUACAUGGGAAAUUUAAUGAUAUAAGAAGUGCUGAUGAAAAAAAAAUAAAUAAAUAUAUCACUGUAGAGCCUUUACUUAGAAACUACAAGACAAUAUAUUUAUUCAUUGAUAAAGACUAAGAAGUUGUGCUUGAUUUUUAAUGUAAUACAGGUUUGAAUUGUCUGAACAGACAACUGACUCAUCUGCCUCCUAAAUGUCUUUUGUCUUUUAAAGUAUGUAACUCAACUGUGAACAGCAUUUUUCAUAUUUCAUAUUUGUGAUCCAGAUUAACUGUAACCGGACUAGUGACAGGUUACUGUACUUAGUUGUUCCAUUUAGUUUUUGGUCAUAGUGAUUGCACAUUUGUAGUCGCUAUAUAGUCUGUAGGCACCAAAUUGGACACACAGUCAAACCCUGACAAAGUGCCUCCCUCACUUUGUGCCCAUCAAGGUCUAUGAACAGAAAUUCCCUAUUAUAUUAUCCCUGGGAAACCCUUGGUAUAGCAUCAGCCCCUCUAGCAGGCAUUUGCCAAAGACUUCAGUGGUACAAAUAUAGCAUGUUACUACUUUCACACUUUGCAUGUGCUAGAGCUAAAUUUCUUGAUUAGAUUUUUAUUAGGGUGUAAGUAAGAAUUUAAGUCUAUGAAAGUGGGCAAGGGAAGGUCGGGUGUUAUGAUAUUUCCUCUUGUUGUCCCUGGGUAUGGAAAUCCAAGCUUGAACUUGGAUCUCCAAAAACAUAAACAUUUUAAGGAACAAUUAAGUAAUGCUGACCUCAGCUUAAUUGGUACUGUACCUUCUAAAAGAAGACUUUUAAAAUGUGCUGUAUAAAGACAAGGUAUAAUAACCUCUGAAUAUUGUUAGAAGCAGCUUUUAUGAAAUAUACUAAUGCUCUUUUACUUUUCACCAUCUGAAAAAAAUGCAACGGUAAUGAGAAUACAGAAUUAUAAAAGGGUUUCACGACUGUUACGAUGCUUCAGAGCAUUUCAGAAAACAGUUUUCUUUUCUAAUCCUUCAGGAAAAUUAACUGAGGAGGAGAACAUUUACUCUACUUGUCUAAGCAUCGCAACUCAGGUCAGACAUGAACUCUGGACUCUGUCUUUCUUUUGAGAUUAUGGAAAAUUCAUUUACUGUUAGUUACUAUAGAAGACAGUCUGUACAAUUUCACAACCAAGGCAGCACUGCAGCUGUUUUAAGUCGUCUUCAGAUGACUGUAACACCGCAGUACAGUUUCUAAUUAUCCUUUUAGGGAAGUGAAGUAUGGGGAAAAGGAAAGCAUUGAGUGUUAGUGAACAGAAAAAUGUCUGUGCUUAUUUACAGACUCAUUUUCUGCAGCCUUUCAGCACAAUACUAAACCAUUUUUCCAUGUUAUGGGACAAACCCAUCAGUUGACACCAUAUUAGCAAUAGGCUUAGUGGGAAAAUCUGGCAAGUGAUAA